GACGAACCGUGCGAACGUUAUUCGGAAUCACUGGGCUUAAAGCGCGUGUAGGCGGCCAACUAAGUCGGGCGUGAAAUCCCACGGCUCAACCGUGGAAGUGCACUCGGAAACUGCAUAGCUAGAGUCCUGGAGAGGAAGGUGGAAUGCUUGGUGUAGAGGUGAAAUUCGUAGAUAUCAAGCGGAACACCGGUGGCGAAGGCGGCCUUCUGGACAGUGACUGACGCUGAGACGGCGAAAAGCGUGGGGAGCAAACAGGG
rnacentral:rRNA from 1 species